CCUACGGGUGGCUGCAGUCGAGAAUCAUUCACAAUGGGCGAAAGCCUGAUGGUGUGACGCCGCGUGGAGGAUGAAGGUCUUCGGAUUGUAAACUCCUGUCAAGUGAGAGUAAAGCCGGGCGUUAACUGUGUGCCGGUUUGAGAGUAUCACUAGAGGAAGAGACGGCUAACUCUGUGCCAGCAGCCGCGGUAAUACAGAGGUCUCAAGCGUUGUUCGGAAUCACUGGGCGUAAAGGGUGCGUAGGCCGCAUGGUAAGUCAGAGGUGAAAUGCCGGA
rnacentral:rRNA from 1 species